UUUAUCCGACUAUUUAAUUGUCCGAGGUAUCUUGACGUUCGCGCGCGUUCCCAAGGUAAACAUGCCACACCCAUCAUGCCGCUUGUUACAUUUACUCAGUACCAAGAAGUGAAUUUGUUUAUUGAAACUUAGAGCGGGAUACAACAUCACGAUACAUCACACAAAGAAUAAGUAACAAAAGACACUUCAGUUUGCGACCAAGUGAUGUAACAUCUUUAAAGGGUCACAAAAUUUUAUGGCAAGAUUGUAAAAACACAGCUUGUCCCUCUGUGGACUUUGAUGGCAUUCCUUACAUCAAUAUAGGAUGGAUGGUAAAAGAAUGUCACCAAGGACCAGACAGACAGAGGAGAGCAAAAGAAAAGAAGAAACAAAAACAUGAACCUGGAGACCAUGAUUAUUUUAAUAAGAGAAAAGCACGUAGACAUAUCCAAAUGUCUAAAAAGCAAUCUUGUCCAGCAGCCAUUAGAAUUAGAGCUAUCAUGAAAUUUCCUGAUUUUUGGUGAUGAGGUUGAACAUAAGCGGCAUCAUCAAUUCAUGAACAACCCUGAAAAGGUUUACAGGGACAAUUUUGUAAAAUAUUGUUUUGGAGCCAAUUAUAUUCAACCCGAGGAAUUAGAAUACCUUCAACAUUUUCUUUAUGAAAUGAUGUGCACCAGCAAAUUUUUACCAGGAUCUAUUUUCUCCCGUUACUCCACAUUUGUUGACUGCAAAAAUGAACAACUCGAGCAAAUCUUUAUUGCUUAUCCUUUAAUGGGACAUCAGUACUUAAAUUUUGUUGUUCUGAAAGAGGCCAUGAUACACUUAGUUUGCAUAAGCACUGGACUCCCUUAUGAAGAGGCAAAUGAAAGAUGCAUUAAAACAGAAAUGUCUGUAGCUGAAUUUAGACGUGGCGCUAACUGAAAUUCAAGGAAGUUAUGGAUAUUUUUUUCGAUUUUGAGGGGAUGUUAUUUUCCAGAGAAUAUCUUAAAAACAGUCUACAGAUUUGAUUCAUACUUUGUAUAUAUAGUAUGUGUAUAACUAAGUUGUGCACCUGUAAUUUUUAUUGAGAUAAUUUAACAUUAAAGGAAGUUAUGGAUA